GAUGAACGCUGGCGGCGUGCCUAAUACAUGCAAGUCGAGCGAACAGACGAGGAGCUUGCUCCUCUGACGUUAGCGGCGGACGGGUGAGUAACACGUGGGUAACCUACCUAUAAUACUGGGAGAACUUAGGGAAACCGGAUCGAAUACCGAAUAAUAGAUUUAAACGCAUGGUUUAAUAGUGAAAGGAGGUUUUUCUGUCACUUAGAGAUGGAUCCGCGCCGCAUUAGCUAGUUGGGAAGGUAACGGCUUACCAAGGCAACGAUGCGUAGCCGACCUGAGAGGGUGGUCAGCCACCCUGGAACUGAAACACGGUCCAGACUCCUACGGGAGGCAGCAGUAGGGAAUCUUACGCAAUGGGAGAAAGCCUGACGGAGCAACGCCGCGUGAGUGAUGAAGGUAUUCGGCUCGUAAAUCUCUGUUAUUAGGGAAGAACAAAUGUGUAAGUAACUAUGCACGUCUUGACGGUACCUAAUCAGAAAGCCACGGCUAACUACGUG
rnacentral:rRNA from 1 species